UAGCCCUCAGGCAUGAUCAAAUAGUGUCAUAGCAUAUCUUAAAAUUGGUAGCUAUGCUUUGAUGACAGAGAAACUUGCAUGCAAGGGAGGAAAACUUCUCUUCAAGGCAAGAGUUGGACUUAAAACAACAAAGAAAAUCACAGUGGUUUGUGUUGGAAGGAGCUUUAAGGAUCAUCCAGUUCCAUACCCCCAUGACAUCACAGGGUUGUCAUCCAUUACAUCAGGCUGCUCAGGGCCCCAUUCAACCUGGCCUUGAGCCCCUUCAGGGGUGGGGCAUCCUCAACUUCUCUGGGCAUCCUGUGCCAGUGUCUCACCACUCUCUGAGUAAAGGAUUCCUUCCUAACAUCUAACCCAAAUCUCCCUUCUUUUAAUUUAAAGCCGUUACACCUUGUCCUAUCACUACAUAAAAAGUCAGUCUCCUUCCUGGUUACAAGCUCUUGGUCUUGCGGAACCUCAUUAUGGUUCACCUGGGCCUACUUUUCAUGCCUUUUGGUCCCUCUGGAUGGCAUUCUUUCCUUCUGUUUUAUCAGCUGCACUACUCAGCUUGGUGUCAUCUGCCAACUUGCUGACAGGGCAAUCAAUCCCACUGUCUGUGUCACUGAGAAAGAUAUUGAAGGGCACCGGUCCCAGGAGAGAUACCUGAGGGACAGCAUUCAUGACCGGCCUCCACCUGGACAUAGAGCUGUUGACGACAAUUUGCAUGUGUUCAAAUUUCUAAAAGUGUUUAUCUUGCUGAGGACAAAUGAUUCAAAUUUUCACUAUUUAGGAAGGAUAUAUUUAUAUAAUGGCUUUUUAAAAUAAAAAAAUAUAUAUUCAUAGCAAUUUCUCUUAAGGAUAAUGAUUAAUUAUUUAUGUUUUUUCAGAGUUUAAAGAUGUGGUAAUUAUUUUAGGUUCUUAGUCUUAAGCAGAUUAAAACAUCUUCCAAUUUUUCUAUUUCCAGUGGAAAUAUUCCCUUUUAAUGGGAAAUACGAACUCUUACUUUCUCACCGUAUCAUAUUAAAUAUGUUACUGAUCAGUUAAUUGUUCUAAGUCCUAUUUCGUUUCACUGUGAAAGAAAAACAUCCUGAUGUGUGUGUGGUUUUGGUUUUUUUUCAG
rnacentral:lncRNA from 1 species